CCGCACACCUUGGGACACGGUUUUCCACUUCCUAAGGACGAGCCCCAGACUGGAGGAGAGGUCCGAGGAGGCUGCUGAACGAAAGUGACAAGCGCCCCUUCAUCGAGGAGGCUGAGCGGCUCCG
rnacentral:sRNA from 2 species